rnacentral:rRNA from 1 species
GACGGAGGGUGCAAGCGUUACUCGGAAUUACUGGGCGUAAAGGGUCCGUAGGCGGCAUAGAAAGUUGGAUGUGAAAUCCCUCGGCUUAACCGAGGAACUGCGUCCAAAACUUCUAUGCUUGAGGGUGGUAGGGGACAGUGGAACUUCAAGUGGAGCGGUGAAAUGCGUAGAUAUUUGAAGGAACUCCGGUGGCGAAAGCGACUGUCUGGGCCAUUCCUGACGCUGAGGGACGAAAGCCAGGGGAGCGAAC